rnacentral:rRNA from 1 species
UACGUAGGUGGCGAGCGUUGUCCGGAAUUAUUGGGCGUAAAGCGCGCGUAGGCGGGUUUGUUAGUCUGUUGUAAAAUCGCGGGGCUCAACCUCGGAAGGUCCAUGGAAACUGCUAUUCUUGAGUGCAGGAGAGGAGAGUGGAAUUCCCAGUGUAGCGGUGAAAUGCGUAGAUAUUGGGAGGAACACCAGUGGCGAAGGCGGCUUUCUGGACUGUGUCUGACGCUGAGGCGCGAAAGCCAGGGGAGCGAACGGG